rnacentral:rRNA from 1 species
AAUAUUGGGCAAUGGAGGAAACUCUGACCCAGCAACGCCGCGUGAGUGAAGAAGGUCUUCGGAUUGUAAAGCUCUGUGGAUAGGGAAGAAAAAAAUGACAGUACCUAUAGAGCAAGCCACGGCAAACUACGUGCCAGCAGCCGCGGUAAUACGUAGGUGGCAAGCGUUGUCCGGAAUGACUGGGCGUAAAGGGUGCGUAGGCGGCUUAUUAAGUUAGAAGUGUAAUACCUGGGCUCAACCUGGGUGCUACUUCUAAGACUGGUGAGCUUGAGUGUGGGAGAGGUAAGUGGAAUUCCUAGUGUAGCGGUGGAAUGCGUAGAUACUAGGAGGAACACCAGCGGCGAAGGCGGCUUACUGGACCAUAACUGACGCUGAGGCACGAAAGCGUGGGGAGCAAACAGG